rnacentral:rRNA from 1 species
AUAUUGCACAAUGGGCGAAAGCCUGAUGCAGCACCGCCGCGUGAGAGAUGCAGGCCUUCGGGUCGGAAAACUCUGUCCUCAAGGAAGAUAAUGACGGUACUUGAGGAGGAAGCCCCGGCUAACUACGGGCCAGCAGCCGCGGUAAUACGUAGGGGGCUAGCGUUAUCCGGAUUUACUGGGCGUAAAGGGUGCGUAGGCGGUCUUUCAAGUCAGGAGUGAAAGGCUACGGCUCAACCGUAGUAAGCUCUUGAAACUGGGAGACUUGAGUGCAGGAGAGGAGAGUGGAAUUCCUAGUGUAGCGGUGAAAUGCGUAGAUAUUAGGAGGAACACCAGUU